UUUUAGAAAAAAUACUAAUAUAAAAAGUCACAAAUUGUUAAUGUGAACCUUUCAAGGUUGUUUAUUUUGUGAUGUUUUCAUCAACAUAAAUUUAAAAUUCAAAAGAAAACACUGCUCAGUGAAUAUUGAAGUAAAUCUUCCUCCUUGAUUUUGUAAGGAUACAAGUGACAAUAUUUUCUAUUUAUAGAUGAUUAAUGUUUUAAGCCUAUAUGUGACUUCCUGGUACUUGGGGAAGUUGCCAGAUUUUCUCAAUAAAAUGAUUGGGAUUUAUUCUCUGAUGAAGGACCUGCUACAAAUAAAAUCAAAGUUUUAAAUAAAUCAGUAACAAAUAAGUGGAACAGUUAAAUUCAAGAUCAUACGUGCAGGUACAUUUAGAAAUGGGAUAUAAGCCAGGCACAUUUCAGCUUAGGUAGCACAUGGUCUGACAGACUCAAGUGUUCUUGUGUGGGACAACUGUCAAGAAUAUUUUAGAUUACAGCUGCCCCAUUAAAUCAAGCCCUCAUGAUUGCUGUAGGUCCACUGCUUCCAUGAGCCACAAAUUAAUUCCCUGAUCUUAGAUACUCUUAAGUCUAAAUUCUUGUACAUGGAGUUGCUAUUAGGAGAUAUCUGCAAGGAUUCUGGAGCCAAUUUACUAGGGUCCUAAUCCUAGCUCUGCCAUACCAGUUAUGUGACUUCAGGCUAGCUAUUUAACCAUUUUAUACCUCAAUUUCUCUCUUAAACAAAGACAGUAAUAGUACCCAACUUAUAGAUUUGUUGGAAAGAUUAAAUGAGGUCAUAUAGGCAAAACCUUAAAAUAGUUCCUGGAACAUAAU
rnacentral:lncRNA from 1 species